UUCUUCAGACGACGGCUGACCAAUUUUCAAAAACUCUCUUCAAAAAUCCCUCUUAAAAAACCUUCAAUCUCUCCAUCUCUAUCUCCAUCUUUUAGUCUUUCUAUCUUUAGCAGCCGCCCACUACAACCCACACAAGUACUCUACGGCCGGCUACCAUAGACGCAACGAGCUUCAGAUGGCAUCUCCAGAUGCGACGGGCUUCGUCAGAUGGCAUCUUCAGACGCGCGGGCUUCAUCAGACAACAUCUUCAGACGCGAUGCACUUUAGACGGCAACGUCGACGGGCUUUGGACGGAGAGUUUAUUUCACUACAAAGAAUGGAAAUCUGCUUGAACUAUCUGAGCUUGAGCCUCCAAGAUGGGUAGAUCACGGCCAGCCCCGUGACGCCAAUGUUGCAGCAAUAGCAGAUGUUGCUUGUUUCAGAACAGAAAUUGUGUAUACAAUAAGCUCUGUGGGAGAUCUCUAUGAAUAUGAUAGGAACUCAAAGCCUCUGUGGAAGAAGCAUGUAUGAAAAGAUAGAGCAGCACAAGAUCUUCGAUUGAUUCCAUCGCGGGGUUGCUAUAUACAUAGCUUGAACGGAGAUCCUUCCAUAUCCCUCUUUCUUUUAACUAAGAUUUUCAGGGUCACACGAUGAAUGAUACCAUAGUUUUGAGGGCCUUAAAUAGAUUAUUGAUGUCGUGAAUUGCAGGCAGAUAGUGAUGAUGAUGGACUCCUGACCUUGAAAGAUAUGACUGAGAACCCAUUUGUGUUCUAUAGCUCUGUUUUUAGUGAAGAUGAGAUGGAUUAUUAUCCACACCACGAUGAAUUUUGUUAGAUGGAUACAGAUGAACAACCACGAAAUUCAGUACUUGUAAUCUAUAUAUUUUUCAUCCUCUUGAUAUCCUUUUAUUGAUAAUUCACAUUUUCUUUCUUUGCUUAUAGGUUAUAUAAAGAAAAAAAAGAUUAUGGGAGAAAAGAAAACGAUAUUGAGAAAAAUUGAGGAUUAUCAAGAGAUUGAUCUUUACAAAAUAUUAGUUAGAGGUUCAUGCCAUAUUGAAGGAUCUGGUUCACAAAGCGAUGGGUGAAACUCUAGAAAUGGGAUUACUUGAAAUAAAACAUGGUUUGCUUCAACUAGCAGAGUCUUUAAACUUUCUUCAUAGCAAUGCACGUCUCAUUCACCAUGCUAUAUCUUCGGAGGUAUCAAUUUUAUUUCAACAUUUUUUCUUUUUCUGGUAGUUUAAAACUUUUUAUUAAGUUUCAUGGGA